rnacentral:rRNA from 1 species
CGUAGGGUGCAAGCGUUAUCCGGAAUUAUUGGGCGUAAAGAGCUCGUAGGCGGUUUGUCGCGUCUGCUGUGAAAACCCGAGGCUCAACCUCGGGCCUGCAGUGGGUACGGGCAGACUAGAGUGCGGUAGGGGAGAUUGGAAUUCCUGGUGUAGCGGUGGAAUGCGCAGAUAUCAGGAGGAACACCGAUGGCGACGGCAGAUCUCUGGGCCGUUACUGACGCUGAGGAGCGAAAGCAUGGGGAGCGAACAGGAUU